ACUCAAAUGAAUAGACGGGGGCCCGCACAAGCAGUGGAGCAUGUGGUUUAAUUCGAUGCAACGCGAAGAACCUUACCUGGGCUCGAAAUGUAGAGGACGAUAUCAGAAAUGAUAUUUCUCGAAAGGGUCUUUACAUAGGUGCUGCAUGGCUGUCGUCAGCUCGUGCCGUGAGGUGUUUGGUUAAGUCCAGCAACGAGCGCAACCCUUAUCGUUAGUUGCCAACGCGUAAUGGCGGGAACUCUAACGAGACUGCCUGGGUUAACCAGGAGGAAGGUGAGGAUGACGUCAAGUCCGCAUGGCCUUUAUGUCCAGGGCUACACACGUGCUACAAUGGUCGGUACAGAAGGCAGCGAAACCGUAAGGCGGAGCAAAUCCUAUAAAACCGAUCUCAGUUCAGAUUGUAGACUGCAACUCGUCUACAUGAAGUUGGAAUUGCUAGUAAUGGCGUGUCAGCAACAACGCCGUGAAUACGUUCCCGGGCCUUGUACACACCGCCCGU
rnacentral:rRNA from 1 species